GGUAAGUUCCGACCUGCACGAAUCGUGUAACGAGUUGACCGCUGUCUCAACGAGGAGCUCAGCGAAGUUGUAAUGGCGGUGAAGAUGCCGCCUACCCGCAGCAGGACGGAAAGACCCUAUGCACCUUUACUAUAAGCUGGUAUUGGGUUCUGGUCUUUAAUGCGUAGCAUAGGUGGGAGACGUUGAAUCGGCGGUUUCGGCUGCCGAGGAGUCAACAGUGAAAUACCACUCUUUAUUGAUUAGGAUUCUAACCCCAACCCUGUUAGCCAGGUGGGGGACAGUGCCUGCGGGUUAGUUUGACUGGGGCGGUUUCCUCCCAAAAAGUAACGGAGGAGUGCGAAGGUACUCUCAGCACGGUUGGCAACCGUGCGUCGAGCAUAUGGGUAGAAGAGUGCUUAACUGUGAGACCUACAAGUCGAGCAGAUGCGAAAGC
rnacentral:rRNA from 1 species